rfam:Schistosoma margrebowiei strain Zambia genome assembly, scaffold: SMRZ_contig0005522
AACCUUCUGUAUCUGUGCUGAGAUUUCAUCACACACUAGACCACAAGGGCUGAUGAGACUCCCAAUCAUUAGUUCAGGUG